rnacentral:rRNA from 1 species
ACGUAGGGUGCAAACGUUGUCCGGAAUUACUGGGUGUAAAGGGUGCACAGGCGGUUUUGUGCGUCAGAGGUGAAAUCCCACGGCUCAACUGUGGAAGUGCAUUUGAUACUGUGAGACUUGAGUAUAAGAGAGGAUGAUAGAAUUCCUGGUGUAGCGGUGAAAUGCGUAGAUAUCAGGAGGAAUACCAGUGGCGAAGGCGGUCAUCUGGCUUGUAACUGACGCUUAAGCACGAAAGCAUGGGUAGCGAACAG